rnacentral:rRNA from 1 species
GACGAACGCUGGCGGCGUGCCUAAUACAUGCAAGUUGAGCGCUGAAGGUUGGUACUUGUACCGACUGGAUGAGCAGCGAACGGGUGAGUAACGCGUGGGGAAUCUGCCUUUGAGCGGGGGACAACAUUUGGAAACGAAUGCUAAUACCGCAUAAAAACUUUAAACACAAGUUUUAAGUUUGAAAGAUGCAAUUGCAUCACUCAAAGAUGAUCCCGCGUUGUAUUAGCUAGUUGGUGAGGUAAAGGCUCACCAAGGCGAUGAUACAUAGCCGACCUGAGAGGGUGAUCGGCCACAUUGGGACUGAGACACGGCCCAAACUCCUACGGGAGGCAGCAGUAGGGAAUCUUCGGCAAUGGACGAAAGUCUGACCGAGCAACGCCGCGUGAGUGAAGAAGGUUUUCGGAUCGUAAAACUCUGUUGGUAGAGAAGAACGUUGGUGAGAGUGGAAAGCUCAUCAAGUGACGGUAACUACCCAGAAAGGGACG